rnacentral:lncRNA from 1 species
UGUAUACUUGAGUUGUGGUGUACACGGCGGGUCUGUGCACGCGACUGGUGAGCUUCCGCUGAAAUCCAAGGCGUGACACUCUAUGUAGUAGAAGAAUGAUUAUGAAACUGCUUAGCAUACAUAGAUUACUUACUCGUUUAGCAUGUAUUACAUGAUAUUAGCAUACUUGUGUAGACAAAUUGAGUAUGACAUCAUUCAAUAGUAAACAGAGGUAAAGCUAUGAAUAUGACAUCUAGUUUAGAUGCAUAACUAAGUGAAUGAUGCCUUAUGGUUCUUAACCUUUGAGUAAAAUUAAUCAUGCAAUUCCAUGUUGCAGACAUAAUGACAGAACUUCUAGGUAUCGUUUGGUUCGGGGAUAAGCAAAAAUUGGGUAUUUCAGGAAUAGGUAUAAAUUGAGGUAUAAGCGGGGAUUAAAUUAAUUUUGCGUUUGGAUGAAAAUUGGGUUAUUCCUGGGAAUAAGAAAAAUAAUGUUUGGUUAGGUAAGAUAGAAUAAGAUUUAAACUGGGUAGUUAUAAAUAAAAAUUAAUAAUAUUAUCACUUUUUUAUUUAUAUUAGAAUUUAAAUUUUUAUAUUUUAUAUUUAUAUUUNUAGCACGCUACCUGCUUCAUUCAUUAAAAAUAUGAAUUAUGCUAUAUUGGUGAGGCAGCCAGGGCCUCGAAGGAGGGGCGCGAGAAAAAAAAAAAA